GACAGAGGCCCCGAGCGUUAAUCGGAAUCACUGGGCUUAAAGGGUGCGUAGGCGGGCCCGCAAGUGCUUUGUGAAAUCCCCUGGCUCAACCAGGGAACAGCGGGGCAUACUGCGGGUCUUGAGGAAGGUAGGGGCCGCCAGAACUGUAGGUGGAGCGGUGAAAUGCGUAGAUAUCUACAGGAAUGCCGAUGGUGAAGACGGGCGGCUGGGCCUUUCCUGACGCUGAGGCACGAAAGCGUGGGGAGCAAACAGG
rnacentral:rRNA from 1 species